rnacentral:rRNA from 1 species
AUUGAACGCUGGCGGCAUGCCUUACACAUGCAAGUCGAACGGUAACAGGUCUUCGGAUGCUGACGAGUGGCGAACGGGUGAGUAAUACAUCGGAACGUGCCUAGUGGUGGGGGAUAACUACUCGAAAGAGUGGCUAAUACCGCAUGAGAUCUACGGAUGAAAGCAGGGGAUCGCAAGACCUUGUGCUACUAGAGCGGCCGAUGGCAGAUUAGGUAGUUGGUGGGAUAAAAGCUUACCAAGCCGACGAUCUGUAGCUGGUCGGGGAGGACGAUCAGCCACACUGGGACUGAGACACGGCCCAGACUCCUACGGGAGGCAGCAGUGGGGAAUUUUGGACAAUGGGCGAAAGCCUGAUCCAGCAAUGCCGCGUGCAGGAUGAAGGCCUUCGGGUUGUAAACUGCUUUUGUACGGAACGAAAAGCCCCGGGUUAAUACCCUGGGGUCAUGACGGUACCGUAAGAAUAAGCACCGGCUAACUACGUGCCAGCAGCCGCCGUAA